UGUUGGCUGAUAGGGGUCUUUUCCUUGCUGUCUGAGCUUGAUGGCUGGAUAAAUUUGCAUUUCUUCUUUUUGUGUUUUAUCCUGUGGCCUUUACAAACCAGGACUGAUGAGAACAGUGGGACAAUCUGCAUGCUUCAACUUGCUGCACCAAGGUCUAAAAACCAGGAGGUGAAUGAACAUUUGAAGCUUGAAGACCUUAAUCUAACAGGCAAACAUUUCUCAGGUUUGGCCAGACAAUCUCUAUCCUUGAGUUGUAAGAGACAGAAAGAACAGAGUGAAUGCUCCAUAUGCUGUUCGGAGCCCUAUUCAUUACCACCAUCUGU